AGCUGGUUCCUGAGGGAGUUGGGUCCUGCAGAGUGAAGAUUUAAAUUCCAAGGUCAUGGCAAAACAUCUGAAGUUCAUUGCCAGGACUGUGAUGGUACAGGAAGGGAACACAGAAGGUGCAUACAGGACCCUAAACAGAAUCCUCACCAUGGAUGGGCUCAUCGAGGACAUUAAGCGACAGCGGUACUAUGAAAAGCCUUGUUGCCAAGGACAACGGGAAAGCUACGAAACCUGUCGGCAGAUCUACAACAUGGAAAUGGCUCGCAAGAUCAACUUCUUGAUGCAAAAGAAUCGGCCGGAUCCAUGGCAGGGCUGCUGAGGCCUGUGGAUAGUAGGCCCAGUAUGAAAAUCCCUAUCCAGCUGUCUCCUUUCUUUCUACAAUCCCAUUUUCUCUUACGUUUCUUAUAAUAAAUUCAAUCACAUAUGUGCAAGAAGGCCUGCAUAUGUAGAAGCAAU